rnacentral:rRNA from 1 species
CAGUCGCCGCGGUAAUACGAAGGUCCCGAGCGUUGUUCGGAAUCACUGGGCGUAAAGGGAGCGUAGGCGGCGUGGUAAGUCAGAUGUGAAAUCCCGGGGCUCAACCCCGGAACUGCAUCCGAUACUGCCAUGCUAGAGGAUUGGAGAGGUAGCUGGAAUUCUUGGUGUAGCAGUGAAAUGCGUGGAGAUCAAGAGGAACACUCGUGGCGAAAGCGAGCUACUGGACAAUAACUGACGCUGAGGCUCGAAGGCCAGGGUAGCGAAAGGGAUUAGAUACCCGCGUAGUCCCUGUCUCUUAUAC